AGUCAAUAGAUACCCGGGUAGUCCACGCCGUAAACGAUGAGUACUAGGUGUAGGAGGUAUCGACUCCUUCUGUGCCGCAGUUAAACACAAUAAGUACUCCGCCUGGGAAGUACGGUCGCAAGAUUAAAACUCAAAGGAAUUGACGGGGGCCCGCACAAGCAGCGGAGCAUGUGGUUUAAUUCGAAGCAACGCGAAGAACCUUACCUAGACUUGACAUCUCCUGAAUAGUGUAGAGAUACAUGAAGCCCUUCGGGGCAGGAAGACAGGUGGUGCAUGGUUGUCGUCAGCUCGUGUCGUGAGAUGUUGGGUUAAGUCCCGCAACGAGCGCAACCCUUAUUACUAGUUGCUACCAUUAAGUUGAGCACUCUAGUGAGACUGCCCCGGGGGUUAAACCCGGGAGGAAAGGCGGGGGAUGACGUCAAAAUCAUCAUGCCCCCUUAUGUCUAGGGCAACACACGUGCUACAAUGGGUGAGUACAGAUAGAUGCGAUACCCGCGAGGUGGAGCCAAAACUCUAAAAACUCAU
rnacentral:rRNA from 1 species